AUUGAACGCUAGCGGGAUGCCUUACACAUGCAAGUCGAACGGAGUGGCGAACGGGUGCGUAAUGUAUCGGGACGUGCCCAGUAGCGGGGGAUCACUACGCGGAAGCGUAACUGAUACCGAUAACUAUUGGAGCAGCCGAUAUGGGAUUCGCUCGUUGGUGGGGGAACGGCUAACCAAGGCGACGAACCGUAGCUGGUUUGAGAGGACGACCAGCAACACUGGGACUGAGACACGGCCCAGACUCCUACGGGAGGCAGCAGUGGGGAAUUUUGGACAAUGGGGGAAACCCUGAUCCAGCAAUCCCGCGUGUGCGAUGAAGGCUUUAGGGUUGUAAAGCACUUUUGGCAGGAAAGCGGUACCUGCAGAAUAAGCACCGGCUAACUACGUGCCAGCAGCCGCGGUAAUAC
rnacentral:rRNA from 1 species